rnacentral:lncRNA from 1 species
ACCUCUGCUACUUGAAUGAUGAGAUCAACAAUCUUCCACCACCGCAAGUUCCUCUCCAAUGAUCAUUAUGGCACCGACCCCUCCUUCAUGCUGACAUUAAGGUGCAUCAGAGAGGAGAGAGAGAAAAGAGGGAGGUUGGGAUCUGGCCAAAGAUCUGGUUGUCGAAGAUGUUGAGGACAGCGAGGUGGGAGAGAUAGCC